rnacentral:rRNA from 1 species
GUGGGGAAUCUUCCGCAAUGGGCGAAAGCCUGACGCAGCCAUGCCGCGUGAAUGAUGAAGGUCUUAGGAUUGUAAAAUUCUUUCACCGGGGACGAUAAUGACGGUACCCGGAGAAGAAGCCCCGGCUAACUUCGUGCCAGCAGCCGCGGUAAUACGAAGGGGGCUAGCGUUGCUCGGAAUUACUGGGCGUAAAGGGAGCGUAGGCGGAUAGUUUAGUCAGAGGUGAAAGCCCAGGGCUCAACCUUGGAAUUGCCUUUGAUACUGGCUAUCUUGAGUAUGGAAGAGGUAUGUGGAACUCCGAGUGUAGAGGUGAAAUUCGUAGAUAUUCGGAAGAACACCAGUGGCGAAGGCGACAUACUGGUCCAUUACUGACGCUGAGGCUCGAAAGCGUGGGGAGCAAACAGGAUUAGAAACCCUUGUAGUCC